rnacentral:rRNA from 1 species
CCCUUAGAUGUCCUGGGCCGCACGCGCGUUACACUGAUGCAUUCAACGAGCUUAUAACCUUGGCCGAGAGGCCUGGGCAAUCUUGUUAACGUGCAUCGUGAUAGGGAUAGAUUAUUGAAAUUAUUAAUCUUGAACGAGGAAUUCCUAGUAAACGCAGAUCAUCAAUCUGCAUUGAUUACGUCCCUGCCCUUUGUACACACCGCCCGUCGCACCUACCGAUUGGAUGGUCCGGUGAAUGUUUUGGAUCGGCUUCAAGUUGGUUCGCGCCUCUUGCUUGCUGUGAAAUCAUGUAAACCUUAUUGCUUAGAGGAAGGAGAAGUCGUAACA